rnacentral:rRNA from 1 species
GAUGAACGCUGACAGAAUGCUUAACACAUGCAAGUCAACUUGAACUUCGCUUUGUGUGGCGGACGGGUGAGUAACGCGUAAAGAACUUGCCUCACAGAUAGAGACAACAUUUGGAAACGAAUGCUAAUACCUGAUAUUAUGAUUUUAGGGCAUCUUAGGAUUAUGAAAGCUAUAUGCGCUGUGAGAGAGCUUUGUGUCCCAUUAGCUAGUUGGAGAGAUAACGGCUCACCAAGGCGAUGAUGGGUAGCCGGCCUGAGAGAGUGAUCGGCCACAAGGGGACUGAGACACGGCCCUUACUCCUACGGGAGACAGCAGUGGGGAAUAUAGGACAAUGUACCAAGAGACUGAUCCAGCGAUACUGUGUGCGCGAUGAAGUUCUUCGGAAAGUAAAGUGCUUUCUGUUUGGAAGAGAAAAAUGACGGGAUCCACAGAAGAAGAGACAGCUAAAUACGUGCCAGCAGCCCCGGUAAUACACGUGUCACGAGCGUUAUCCGGAGUUUUUUGGGCGUAAAGCGCGUCUAGGGGGGUUAUGUAAAAACUGAGGUGAAAAAAGCAGGCUCUACUUUUGUAUUGCGCUUGGAAACUGUGUAACUAGAGUACUGGGGAGGUAAACGGGGACUCCAAGUGUGGAGGGUGAAAAUCUCAGAUAUUUUGUAGGAAUGUCCCAUAUGGAAGCCCGCUCUAUCCUGCACAUACUGACACUAAAAGAGCGCAAGAGCGUGGUGAGCAAACGAUAUUAUACCCUUGUGUAUCAAAGGCGAAUUCCCCAAAUGGGGCGGCCCCGGGGGGCCCCACUAAGUUCAAGGGGCCCCCCCGCGGGCCCCAAUUUUCCCCUAGGGGGGGGCUGAGAGCAGGGUCGCGGGGCCCCCCUUUUAAAAGGUGGGGGCCGGGGAAACCCCUCUGCUUUUUCCUAAUUAAACCCCCGUGUCGCAAAUUCUGCUUUUUUUUUUUUGUAUAAAAC